GACGAACGCUGGCGGCGUGCUUAACACAUGCAAGUCGAACGGAAAGGCCCUGCUUUUGUGGGGUGCUCGAGUGGCGAACGGGUGAGUAACACGUGAGUAACCUGCCCUUGACUUUGGGAUAACUUCAGGAAACUGGGGCUAAUACCGGAUAGGAGCUCCUGCUGCAUGGUGGGGGUUGGAAAGUUUCGGCGGUUGGGGAUGGACUCGCGGCUUAUCAGCUUGUUGGUGGGGUAGUGGCUUACCAAGGCUUUGACGGGUAGCCGGCCUGAGAGGGUGACCGGCCACAUUGGGACUGAGAUACGGCCCAGACUCCUACGGGAGGCAGCAGUGGGGAAUAUUGCACAAUGGGCGGAAGCCUGAUGCAGCAACGCCGCGUGCGGGAUGACGGCCUUCGGGUUGUAAACCGCUUUCGCCUGUGACGAAGCGUGAGUGACGGUAAUGGGUAAAGAAGCACCGGCUAACUACGUGCCGGCAGCCGCGGUGAUACGUAGGGUGCGAGCGUUGUCCGGAUUUAUUGGGCGUAAAGGGCUCGUAGGUGGUUGAUCGCGUCGGAAGUGUAAUCUUGGGGCUUAACCCUGAGCGUGCUUUCGAUACGGGUUGACUUGAGGAAGGUAGGGGAGAAUGGAAUUCCUGGUGGAGCGGUGGAAUGCGCAGAUAUCAGGAGGAACACCAGUGGCGAAGGCGGUUCUCUGGGCCUUUCCUGACGCUGAGGAGCGAAAGCGUGGGGAGCGAACAGGCUUAGAUACCCUGGUAGUCCACGCUGUAAACGGUGGGUACUAGGUGUGGGGUCCAUUCCACGGGUUCCGUGCCGUAGCUAACGCUUUAAGUACCCCGCCUGGGGAGUACGGCCGCAAGGCUAAAACUCAAAGGAAUUGACGGGGCCCCGCACAAGCGGCGGAGCAUGCGGAUUAAUUCGAUGCAACGCGUAGAACCUUACCUGGGUUUGACAUGGAUCGGGAGUGCUCAGAGAUGGGUGUGCCUCUUUUGGGGUCGGUUCACAGGUGGUGCAUGCCUGUCGUCAGCUCGUGUCGUGAGAUGUUGGGUUAAGUCCCGCAACGAGCGCAACCCUUGUUCACUGUUGCCAGCACGUUAUGGUGGGGACUCAGUGGAGACCGCCGGGGUCAACUCGGAGGAAGGUGGGGAUGACGUCAAGUCCUCAUGCCCCUUAUGUCCAGGGCUUCACGCAUGCUACAAUGGCUGGUACAGAGAGUGGCGAGCCUGUGAGGGUGAGCGAAUCUCGGAAAGCCGGUCUCAGUUCGGAUUGGGGUCUGCAACUCGACCUCAUGAAGUCGGAGUCGCUAGUAAUCGCAGAUCAGCAACGCUGCGGUGAAUACGUUCCCGGGGCU
rnacentral:rRNA from 1 species